UGUAGUUUGAUGACGUUGUGAAGUACGUUGGGAUCAUGGGAGUUGUUGUCUUCAUUGUUAAACAAUCACUAAUGCUGAUAGAAACCUAUCUGACAUGACAGACAGGCAGACAUCAUGUUUCUGAAUGAGUGUCUUAACCUUGGAAACAUUUGGGAAAAUCUGUGCUCUUUCAAGGUGUUUUAGAAUGACUGUCAAUUUACAAAGAGCUCCUCAGUAUUAGUCCGACACAUGUAACUACAGUGUGUGGGGAGUAGAUUCAGAGGGAGGGAGGGAAAUUUGAGCACUAAUGCCAAAGUGGAAUUUGCCAGUUCUCUUUUCUAACACCUCCCUCUCUCUGAAACAGAGGGGAAGUCGAAAACACCAUUUGUCAGUGCACAUUACAUCUCUGUUGUUAUAGUCCCAAAUGAAAGCCCAGUAUGUGGCUCCUUUCAACAGAAGAUGCUAACAGGCCUUGUUAAUUGGACUUGGCUUGGUUCUCCACGAAGCCUUAUUGUCUUAUUGCAUGACUGACUGAGGAUUACUGGGCCAGAAAUGCAUCGACACAUACUCUUAACUGAGCACAGAGUGUGCAACAAAUGUAUCCUUUAAAUGAAGACUACCUCAAUUAAAAAUAAUAACACCACUUUAAAAUGAGGCCAAAAUGUUGAAAUUCUCACAGCUCUUUUUUCCACAGCCAUGUUUCAGCUAUAAGCACAGAUCUUGAAAAGUGAAAACAUUUGUAUGCGGGCUACAACUAGAUUUGUGUAACUGUCCGGCAUGAAGGAGUCAGAGGGAUGGCUUGGUUUAACUUGGGGCAGGAAAAAUGCAGUCACUUUGAAGUUUCUAUUGGAUGAGAGUUUUAAAAAUUAAGGAAAAUUAAGGAAAGGCAGUUGCAUAAAAUCAGGACAUGUGGAGCAGUGUUCUUUUGUUUCCUAAAGAGUGGAUGUUUGUAAGAAACGUCACUAAUGAAGUUUCAAUAUUUUAUCAACAGUAUCGUCACUGAUACUAAAUAAACGUUAUUACAGUUAUCUAA